rnacentral:rRNA from 1 species
AUUUUCCGGUUGAUCCUGCCGGAGGCUACUGCUAUUGGGAUUCGACUAAGCCAUGCGAGUCAAGGUGUCUUCGGAUGCCGGCGUACGGCUCAGUAACACGUAGGUAACCUACCCUCAGGACUGAGAUAACCCCGGGAAACUGGGGCUAAUAUUACAUAGAUAAAAGGUACUGGAAUGUUCUUUUAUCCAAAGCUUUUGCGCCUGAGGAUGGGCCUGCGUCCGAUUAGGUUGUUGGUGGGGUAAUGGCCCACCAAGCCUGCGAUCGGUACGGGCAGUGAGAGCUGAAGCCCGGAGUUGGGGACUGAGACAAGGCCCCAGGCCCUACGGGGCGCAGCAGGCGCGAAACCUCUGCAAUGCGGGAAACCGUGACAGGGGGAUCCCAAGUGCUCAUGCAUUGCAUGGGCUGUUCUUUGGUCUAAGUAACCAGAGGAGUAAGGGCUGGGCAAGACCGGUGCCAGCCGCCGCGGUAAUACCGGCAGCUCAAGUGGUAGCCGCGAUUAUUGGGCCUAAAGCGUUCGUAGCCGGAUAAGUAAGUCUUUGGUUAAAUCCUGCAACUCAACUGUGGGAAAUCUAGGGAUACUGCUUGUCUUGAGACCGGGAGAGGUUAGAGGUACUCCUAGGGUAGGGGUGAAAUCCUGUAAUCCUAGGGGGACCACCUGUGGCGAAGGCGUCUAACUGGAACGGGUCUGACGGUGAGGGACGAAACCUAGGGGAGCGAGCCGGAUUAGAUACCCGGGUAGUCCUAGGCGUAAAUGAUGCGAGUUAAGUGUGGGGGCAUCUACGAGAUGGCCCUGUGCUGUAGGGUAGCCGUUAAACUCGCCGCCUGGGGAGUACGGUCGCAAGGCUGAAACUUAAAGGAAUUGGCGGGGGAGCACCACAAGAGGUGGAGGCUGCGGUUCAAUUGGAUUCAACGCCGGGAAU